GCUUGCACUUUGAUGACGAGUGGCGCACGGGUGCGUAACGCGUAUAGAACCUACCCUGUACAGGGGGAUAGCCCAGAGAAAUUUGGAUUAAUACCCCGUGGUAACUAUAAAUGGCAUCAUUUAUAGUUUAAAGUUUUCGGACGGUACAGGAUGGCUAUGCGUCCUAUUAGUUAGAUGGUGAGGUAACGGCUCACCAUGGCAUCGAUAGGUAGGGGCCCUGAGAGGGGGAUCCCCCACACUGGUACUGAGACACGGACCAGAUUCCUACGGGAGGCAGCAGUGAGGAAUAUUGGACAAUGGGCGUAAGCCUGAUCCAGCCAUGCCGCGUGCAGGAAGACGGCCCUAUGGGUUGUAAACUGCUUUUAUACGGGAAGAAUAAGGGACACGAGUGUCCUGGUGACGGUACCGUAAGAAUAAGGACCGGCUAACUCCGUGCCAGCAGCCGCGGUAAUACGGAGGGUCCGAGCGUUAUCCGGAAUUAUUGGGUUUAAAGGGUCCGCAGGCGGGCAAUUAAGUCAGGGGUGAAAUGGUACGGCUCAACCGUAGCACUGCCCUUGAUACUGGUUGUCUUGAGUCAUAGUGAAGUGGCCGGAAUAUGUAGUGUAGCGGUGAAAUGCAUAGAUAUUACAUAGAACACCGAUUGCGAAGGCAGGUCACUAACUAUCGACUGACGCUGAUGGACGAAAGCGUGGGGAGCGAACGGGAUUAGAUACCCCGGUAGUCCACGCCGUAAACGAUGGAUACUAGCUGUCCGCUGCCUUGAGCAGUGGGCGGCCCAGCGAAAGUGAUAAGUAUCCCACCUGGGGAGUACGUUCGCAAGAAUGAAACUCAAAGGAAUUGACGGGGGCCCGCACAAGCGGUGGAGCAUGUGGUUUAAUUCGAUGAUACGCGAGGAACCUUACCAGGGCUUAAAUGCAUAAUGACAGGUCUAGAGAUAGACUUUUCUUCGGACAUUUUGCAAGGUGCUGCAUGGUUGUCGUCAGCUCGUGCCGUGAGGUGUCAGGUUAAGUCCUAUAACGAGCGCAACCCCUGCCGUCAGUUGCCAGCAAGUAAAGU
rnacentral:rRNA from 1 species